GAAUUCGAUUCAGGCCUAACACAUGCAAGUCGAGCGCGAAAGUUCUUCGGAAUGAGUAAAGCGGCGGACGGGUGAGUAAUACAUGGGAAUCUGCCUGGUAGUGGGGGACAACGUUUCGAAAGGAACGCUAAUACCGCAUACGCCCUACGGGGGAAAGGGGGGGAUCUUCGGACCUCUUGCUAUCAGAUGAGCCCAUGUCGGAUUAGCUUGUUGGUGAGGUAAAGGCUCACCAAGGCGACGAUCCGUAACUGGUCUGAGAGGAUGAUCAGUCACACUGGAACUGAGACACGGUCCAGACUCCUACGGGAGGCAGCAGUGGGGAAUAUUGGACAAUGGGCGCAAGCCUGAUCCAUCCAAGGCGCGUGUGUGAAGAAGGCCCUAGGGUUG
rnacentral:rRNA from 1 species